rnacentral:rRNA from 1 species
AUUGAACGCUGGCGGCAGGCCUAACACAUGCAAGUCGCACGAGUGGCGGACGGGUGAGUAAUUUCUGGGAAACUGCCUGCUUGAGGGGGCUAACUCCUGGAAACGGUAGCUAAUACCGCAUACCAUCAGAUGUGCCCAGAUGGGAUUAGCUUGUUGGUGGGGUAACGGCUCACCAAGGCGACGAUCCCUAGCUGGUCUGAGAGGAUGACCAGCCACACGGGAACGGAGACACGGUCCAGACUCCGACGUGAGGCAGCAGUGGGGAAUAUUGGACAAUGGGCGAAAGCCUGAUGCAGCCAUGCCGCUUGUAUGAAGAAGGCCUUCGGGUUGUAAAGUACUUUCAGCGAGGAGGCGUUACCCGCAGAAGAAGCACCGGCUAACUCCGUGCCAGCCGCCGCGGUAAUAC